rnacentral:misc_RNA from 1 species
AGGUUCCAUAGGCAUCACACAAUCCAUUAGCAACAAUUGAUUAAUUUUUGUUAACUAAAAGUUGAAUGAUAAGCAUUACAAAGCAAAUGAUUUUAUGGACACAAAUCAUCCCAAAUUGCAACACUGACUGGAUUCCUAAAACAGGUUCUAGCUGUCUGAUAUUGUUUCAAAUCCCAUUUAUGCUGUCUCAUCUUAGGAAAUGGUAGAAAUAUUGGUGCCAUGGAUUCACGGCCAUUAUUUAAAGGUUUUUU